rnacentral:rRNA from 1 species
GGUGAACGCUGGCGGCGUGCCUAAGACAUGCAAGUCGAGCGGGGCAGGUUUAUCCCUGUUCAGCGGCGGACGGGUGAGUAACGCGUGGGUGACCUACCCGGAAGAGGCGGACAACCUGGGGAAACCCAGGCUAAUCCGCCAUGUGGUCCUGUCCUGUGGGGCAGGACUAAAGGGUGGAUAGCCCGCUUCCGGAUGGGCCCGCGUCCCAUCAGCUAGUUGGUGGGGUAAAGGCCCACCAAGGCGACGACGGGUAGCCGGUCUGAGAGGAUGGCCGGCCACAGGGGCACUGAGAAACGGGCCCCACUCCUACGGGAGGCAGCAGUUAGGAAUCUUCCGCAAUGGGCGCAAGCCUGACGGAGCGACGCCGCUUGGAGGAGGAAGCCCUUCGGGGUGUAAACUCCUGAACUGGGGACGAAAGCCCCGUGUAGGGGGAUGACGGUACCCAGGUAAUAGCGCCGGCCAACUCCGUG